UUGAUUUCCUAUGCUGUGCUUGGUUUCCUUUAACAAGUUGGGCGAGAGUUGUUUUUCCAAUUCCGCCCAGCCCUACUACAGAGAUGACAUCCACGUCCCGUGCUUCUUGACUACUUUCAGCCAGCAACUUGCUUACAACAUUUCUCUUUUCACCAUCUCGACCAAUCACACUUGAUUCAUCAACAAAGGAGGUAGUUGUUAGCCGCUGGAGUUCAUCAGUGGCUUUGUACAGAUCAAAGCCAUACUUAGCUCUCUCUUUGGCAAUGUCAUCCACUUUUUCACUAACUUCUUUGAUCUUCCGGGCAAUGUCGCGACGUCGAACCACUUGAUUGAAACAAAAGCAAGGAGAUCCCAGGAAGGAACACCGUAUCUUCUGUCGGCUGUGAGUAUUUUCAGCUUCCUCCAUUUUCCAUCGAAGAAUUGCAGUGCUCCAUUCAUCUAGCACGUCAUCCAUAUCAUAACAUGCAUCUUUGAGCUUGUCUAGCCAAUCUCUUACAGCCUUAUCCCUCACUUGUUUUCUAUCUGCAUCUUCAAGGACAGAUUGGAUAUCAAGGAGAUUGCUUUUCAGCUUGUCACAUUGUUUCUUCACAUCCACUACUAGGUUCACCUCUUCUUGUACCUAUUAGUGUACAGAUGAAAAGAAACGUUAAGCAUAGGAAACAUUUCUAUGAUUUCAAUACAAAUUCUUAAUUUUUAGCAAUUAAUAGAUUAAAUCAUUUUUAUUAAACUUUUUCACAGUAGCAAUUAAUAUAUUUAUAUUGUUAAUUAUAUUCAAAUUAUAUAUAAUAACUCUCUAAAAUAAAAUGACUCGUAAAUAAUGUAAUGCUAAGCCACUAUUAUUGCACUAAAAUUUACUAGAUGCGUGAAUUAAAAUAUAUUUUAUUUGAAUAAAGGAUUUCUUUAGAUAAAAAGAUAGAAUUCAUAGAUAUUAUAAUUGUGGAGCGCAAUAUAUACAUUGCAAUUUCACAAUAUUUUUAGGUGACUUUUAAUAAUUAUCAUAGUCUAUUUUUUAAAAUAUUCUGUGAGGUUGAUCAAAAUAAAAAAGAAAUAUUAAUUAGAAUUUCUAUAAUCAUGUUUGUAAUCGAAUAUUUGACUAUAUUUAUUUUAAUCAUUUUAUCAUACUAAUUUUAUUUCAAAUAUAGUUAUUUAUGCAUUCAAAUAUGAUAAGGAAUUAUUAAAAAAGGAAUUUACUACUAUUUUACUAUAUUGAUUUGUUCUAACCAGCCAUCACAAUAACCAUAUUUUGUAUAGCACAAAAGAUAUAAAUAAAAAGAAAGAGAAUCGUAAGAACCCGCUAUCUUGUAAAAAUAAUAUACAUACAUACAUACAUACAUAUAUAUAUAUAUAUAUAUAUAUAUAUAUAUAUAUAUUAACUAAUUUAUUUGAUCACAUGCAAUGUGAUAAUAUAUAAAUCAAGCUACUGAUUUAGCUUCUGACAAAUUAACAGAUAUUCUAUAAGAUAAUGAAAUCAAUGUAUAAUGAACUAUAAAUGUUAGGUUAAUUGCAAAAUUGUAGAAAAGUAAUUAAGUACCUGUUGAUUAUAAAAAAAAGAAAAAAAAAAAAGAAACAAACAAAAAAGAGUACCUGUCGAGCAACGAUCGUGGUUAACUGCUCCAAAAUUGGGGAUACAAGUGCGUCAGCCAUUGUUGUUCUUACUACUGAAUGUGUCAAGAAAAAGGAGAGAAAGUAAUGGGGCGUUGUUGACUGAUGAAAUGAGAAGUUGAUGAAGAUAGGAAGGAUAGUGAUCUACUCUGUGGAGUGCCAGAGAAAAUUAAUUUGAGGUUAUUCUCCAUGAAGUUUAGGCAAUAUAUACUGCAAAUUAAGAUCAUUUGCUUAAGACUGGGGUUAGAGUAUGAUUCUGAACUUCAGUAUAAAGCAACUAAUUUCCUUCAAGGUUGAUGCAAGCAAAGAAUGUUACUGAAACAAUGAGAAAAUAUGUGUAACAAGGAAAAGGAAAAGGCAAAGGCAAAGGCAAGUCUAGAAUUAGCCAUUGCUUCACUUUGGGUUCAAGUAUAAUGCAUCAGUCAUUUUUUUAUUUGCAUGGUUAUGGUUAUAAGAUCACGGUAAUUCUGUAAAAAAUAAAUUAAAAUAAAUUAUUUUAGAAAUAAGUUUCUUGUUGUAAUUAAAUUGCAAAAAAUAGUUAGGAUAAAAUUUAAGAUAAAUCCUAGGGAACACAUUCAAAAUGCACUGUGUACUGGAUUCUCAAUGUUCAUUUUACAGUUUGACAAGAGAAUCUUUCCUUCACUUUCACUUGCACGAUCUUUUUUUUAUCUUCUUUUUUUUUCAAAACUUACAAUCUUUUUUUUUCCCAGAUCUUUUUUCACUGUGUACCCAUUAUUUGUUUGGUUUACGAUGCUUUUUUUUUAAUACCUUAUAAGUGCCAAAAUUACCAACACCAUCAAUAGCAUAAUUUUUUUGCCUUAAUUUUAACUGCAAAACAGCUACCUUACCGCCCCAGCAAACGAGAACGAAAAAGCUCACCAAGAUGCUCUCUUUGAAAAGAUUCUCAAUGAGUCACUGACAUUUACUCUCAUUGUUUAAAAAAGUUAGGGUAAAGUUGAAAGAUAAAAUUAAAAAAAAAAUUAUUGAUUAAAAAAACAUUAUUAUAAUGAAUAGUUCUUUUAUGAUGAGGGGUAUUGUAAAAUCCUCUCCUCUUUUGGUGUCUACUAGUUAUGUGAAUUGUGCUUCACUUCAGGUCAAGUAUUUUUAAUUUUUUAUAAAAAAGGUUGUAUAUGCAGAUUUUUUCAACGUAUUUUUGUACUUUAAAAAAUUUAAGUGUAUAUCAAAAAAUUUAUGCACACAUUUAAUCAAAUAAAUUGAGAAUUAUAUAUGUUAAUAAACAAAUAAAUAAUCAUUAACGACACCUAAAAAUAAAACUUAAAAAAUUGAGAGACAAAUAUAGAUCAAUAUAUUUAAUUUCGCAAAAUAAGAUAUUUACCCGAUCAUGUUUGCUAAAUUUUUUAUUAAAAAAAUUUCUAAUUUAAUCAAAUGAUAAUAAAAUAGAUAAACAUAUUAAAUUGAUUGAAUAAAAUAAAAAGAAAAUAUGAAUAAUAUGCAAGGCUACACAUAUUAGAAAUAUCAUAUAAAAUAAAUAUUUUUUAUUUUCAAAAAUAUAGUUCACCUAUGCAAAAGAUAAAAAAAUUAUAGAUAGAUUAGAAAAAACCUCUUUAAAAAUUAAACAUAUAAUCAAAAAAAUCACCAUUAUUUAGAAGAGGUUAUCUAAACAAAAUAAAAAAGAAAGAAAGGGUGGAUAGUGAUCUACCGUGGAGCGCAAGAGAAAAUUAAUUUGAGGUUAUUAUCAAUGAAGUUUAGGCAAUGGCGCAAAUUAAGGUCAAAUUGGAUGUUUUGCACUUUGGAUAAUGAUAUUAAUUUUUGGUGUUUGGUGAUAGAUUUCUUGUUGUGAAAUAGUUAUGGUAAAAUUUAAGAUAAAUCCUAGUGAACACGUCUUGUUGUGAAAUAGUUAUGAUAGACUCUCAAUGUUCAUUUUAGAGUUCCACAAGAGAAUCUUUCCGUCACUUUCACUUACUGCAAAACAGAGCUAUCAAUUUAAAAAUAUAUAAUUGCUCAAAUCAAGAAAUCAAUCUCAAUAAAUAAUAAUGUUUUAUGGCAACAACAGAUAAUAAAUAUUAUAUAAAUUACUAAGAAGUACUAUCAAUUUAAUAUUAAUAAUUUGAAUAUUUAUACUACUCCUCUGCAGCAUAUGAGAUAGUAAGUGAUAGAAUGGUCCCACUCCCCAUGUUAUGGUUUAUAUUUUGCUUUAAACAGAGUAUAGUUGUACUAAAAAUACACCCCUUUCCCGAAAGGAAGGGGAAGAACACAAUCAAGGGAUUUCUUGUUGUUUGACUUCUCAUGUUUCUCUCCCACCACGGGCAACUGUUUAUUUUCGCCAAGGUGAAUUGAGGCUUCAAGUAGAAGAAAUUAUUUACUGGUUAGAAACUUGGUCGAUUUCACUGUUGUCUUUGAGACAAAUGAAACUGAGGUUUUUGGUUUGCAAUUUGGGCAGAUAAGGAUAAUCCUUAUUGUUUGGUGUUUGAGAAUUUAAUUGGUGCUAAAUUUCUUGUUGUAAAUUGCAGAAAAUAGUCAGGGUAAAAAUUUAAGAUGAAUGCUAGGGAACACAUCUUCCCAAAAUGCACUGGGUUCUGGAUUCUCAAUGAAUGUUCAUCUUACAGUUUGACAAGAGAAUCUUUCCUUCGCUUGCACUAUCUUUUUGUUUGUUUGCCCGAUGCAUGAUUUUUUUACCAAAUAAGGAUAAUCCUCAUUUUUCCUUGAUAAAUUCUAACUACAAAACAGCUACUUCACCAACAAGAUGGAAAAGGCUCGCCAAGAUGUUCUCUUUGAAAAGAUUCUCAGUGAGUCGUUGACAUCUCAUUUUUGGAAUUUCUCCAAUAGCUUGAUGUCUACUCUCACUAUAUUGAGUAGGAUGACUGUAUAGAAUUACUCUGAUUUAUCAACACAUAUCAAAUUCUUGCUGCUGCUGAGGAAGAUAUCUGCACUUAGCCAUCAUAGAGGGUAGCGAAUUUUGUGUUGAUGGAAAUUACACUGACUCAUUGUGUACCAUCUAGAAUUCAAUUUUAAAAAAUAUUGCAAGAAAUGAUGUUUUUUCCUAAAUACAUCAUUCGGGUGUGGAUAGCUUGAUUAAAAUGCGACUCACUAAAAAGUCUUGGUCUUAAUAUGCAAAGAUGAUCCUAGUAUACCAUAUUUCUUUUAAAAUAAAACCCACAGAUCUAGUCCACGCAAAGGUACUGGAAUAUGGAUUUGUAAAAAAUAAAAAUGAAAAUUUAUACGAAAUUGAAUUGUGCUAAAAAAACCCACAGAUCUAGUCCAUGAUCUACGGCUCCUCCAGAGUUCCGUAGUGGUGUCUUUCUCAACUAUUCUUUAAAUAAAAUGUUUGGGAUGUGAGAAAUCUUGUGCCUAUCUUCACCCCUCCCCUCCUUCCCGUAACGUUUCCUUAGAGAAUUUAUGUAGAGGCGCUGUCAAAACAUAGGCCGGUAGUGCUCUCAACAAUGGGCAUUUGAGAAUUCUAAACUCAACAAGUUGUGGCAUGAUGAAUAUUGAAGUCAUGGUGGAAUCUUCUUCUCCCACUCUCCUUUCAAUCCCAUCCCACUCCUCUAGUUCUUUGAGAUGCCAUAUGCUAAGUUUUUUCAAUUUGGGGAAAGCAGGGACUCUUGCAAUUUCUCCUUCAUUAAUAUUGGUAUUGCCAACAUUUUCUUUGCCUAAAAAUCCACCAUCCAACCUUCUCAGCUUCAUGCUCAUCCAUCUGAAAAUCUUGGAAGAAACAACGUGCUACUAAGACUUGAAAAUACUCCUCUCCAACAAGCUCCAUACCUCUACUUGGAGUCUCCUUAAGAUAACCUUGAGCCAUCCACAUCUUCACCAACUGGUCUUUUUCCAUCUCGUAGUCUUUUGGAAACACCGUCUUGCCACAGAAGGUAAAUCGUAGUAACUCAAAAGCUGAGGUGGAAAUAGUGCUAUUUCAACAUGUUCUAACUCCCACAGUUCGCUAGAUAAAACAUGUUCCCACUCUUCUCUUGUUCUUUUACACUGCACUAGACCUCCUAAUACCUUGGCAGCUGGAGACAAGCCCUUGCACUUGCUUGCAAUUUUGCCGCCUAUUUCUGUCAAUCUUUCGCGCUCAUCUUUGAGUUUUUUUUAUUGGAAUGCCACCUGAUUGAAUAUUGACAUCCAUACCUCAUCAGAUACUCUCUCAAGGUUGAUCCAGUGGUCCGUUCCCAUCAUUGUUGCUAUAGCAUGUUUACGAGUGGUCACUAGAAUUCUGCUUCCAGGUGCACCGCCUUUGAGAGAUAGUUUCAGUGGUUCCCAUUGUCCAUGACUUUCUGUCCAUACAUCAUCAAGGACAAGAAGGAACUUCUUUCCCUUCAUUGAUUCAGAAACACUUUGCAAAAGGGAUUCCAAUUAAACUAAACACUUUCCCUCAAGGAUAGCUUUUGCUAUUCUAACCUUAUCAAAUGGAUCUGAUACACACACCCAUAUCUUUUUCUCAAAAUGAGCCGUAACCUCAGCAUCAUCAAAAGCUAGUUGGGCGAGAGUUGUCUUUCCAAUCCCGCCCAUCCCUACUAUAGAGAUGACCUCCACGUCCCCUGCUUCCUGAAUACUUUCGCCCAGCAACUUGCUUACUAAAGCUUCCCUUUCCUCAUCUCGACCACUCACGAUUGAUUCAUCAACAAGGGAGGUACUUGUUAUUCGUUAGAGUUCAUCAGUGGCUCUGUACAGCUCAAAGCCAAACAUUGCUCUCUCUUUGGCAAUCUCAUCCACUUUCUCACAUACUUCUUUGAUCUUGAGGGCAAUGUCGCGACGUCGAGCCACUUGAGUGAGACAAAAGCAAGGAGAUCCCAGGAAGGAACAUCGUAUCUGCUGUAGGCUGUGAUUAUUUUCUUCAGCAUCCCUCAUUUUUCAUGUAAGAAUUGCAGAGCUCCAUUCAUCUAGCACAUCAUCGAUAUCAUAGCAUACAUCUUUGAGCUUGUCUAGCCAAUCUCUUGCAACCUUAUCCUUCACUUGCUUUCUAUCUGCAUCUUCAAGGACAGAUUGGAUAGCAAGGAGAUUGCUUUUCAGCUUGUCGACUUGUUUCUGCACACCCCCUACUAGGUUCACCUCUUCCUGUACCUAUUGGUGUAGAAAAGAUAAGAAAGUUGAAGCAGAGGAAACAUUUCUAUGAUUUCUUUACAAGUUUUUAAUUUUAAUUUUUGGUAAUGAAUAGAUUAGCAGUAGUUGACACGUACUGCGAAAUGGAUUGGCUAUAUUAAUAAUUUAUACAUAAAAUAUUUAUUAAAAACCUAUAUAUUAAAAAUAAUAAUAUUUCUUUUUUGUUAUCAUCAUGAUGAUACCUGUCUGCACUCUUCCACUACAAAGAAAUAUAUAAAAGGAAUAAAAGGAAAGUGAAUAAAAGGAUCUGUAUUUGUUGGUAUUUGUAAAGUCCAUUGACAACUCAUUCUUUUUCCUUCUAAAGAUGUUUGAUUUGAGUAUUUGAGAUUUUAUUUUGUUUUUCUUAAAGGGAAGAAAAAAAGACUUCAUUUUUAUGUUUCUUAUUCAUGGUAGGUUAAUUAGGUCAUUGCAAAUUGUAUAAAAGCAAGUACCUGUUGAGCAACGAUCCUCGUUAACUGCUCCAAAAUUGGUGAUAAAAGUGCCUCUGCCAUUUGCCUGUUUAGUUUAAUUUUAUUUUAUUUUUAAAAAAGAGACAAUGAUGAGAGGAUGAACUGAGAGAGAGAGAGAGAAGAGAGUGUGAGGGGAAGGAGGCUGCUGGUUGUGAAAUGAAGAGAGAGGGUUAGUUUAUGUACUUGGGCCUUGGGGUUUGCUGAUGAGGGUUAAAGUUUUUUUUAGUCCCUGUAUGAUUUUUAACAUUUCAAUUUAGCCCCUAUAUUAUUGGACUUCUCAGUCUAGUCUCGGUCAGGGGUUACAUACUGAAAUGUAUCUGAUAUGGACACUGAUUAUAGCAUUAUACUGAAAUCCUUUCUUCUUCUUCUUCUUCUUUUUUUUUUUUUUUCACUCCUUUAUUAACGUGAUUUAAGGCACUUCUUUCGUUGUCUUUUUCUACUUUUUCAUAAUUUAAGGUACUUCUUUCUUGUUUUAGCUAGAAACAUAAUGCAAGACAAUUAGAAAAACAAAGGAAGAGUGUUUUCAAGAUUCAGGAAUCCGAGAGUGAAGAGCUGACAUGCAGAUGCAGGAACAUAGGAAGAGAGUUGUUUGGUUAUUAAAAUAAGGGCUAAGGUUAUGAAAUCUGGAAAUUGAAAGUCAGAUCUAAAUUACAGAGGAAAUCAGCUAACACCACCGGCGAAGUGAAUUCUUGCAUGACAGCAGCAGUUUCCCUCACAAGUUGUCUGACAGGAAUUGGUUCCUACAACCAUAAAAAUUCACAAGUUAGAACCUUCACGAUUUAACUCUUGGAUUUCACGCUAGAUUCAGCAGCGGUUGGGGUCAGAAUGACAUUGUUGGGAAGAAGACAACUAACAACAAGUCUUGUGAUACAGACAACCUCAAUAAGUACUUUCCAGAUGUAUUAUCUUAACCAGGUCAUCAAGCAUUAGAGGAAUUAUGUACAUGAGUUUGUUUAGAGACAUCAAAAGGAUGCCCAUACACCAUUCAUAAGAUAAGCCAUGGAAAUUUAACAACCUUAUCACUUAUCAGUGAAAUUAAAAGAAGAGCUGAAGAACAAACGUGGAGUUUUAUAUAACUAUAUUAUUUGAUAGUUUUAUCUAUAUUUAUCUAAUAUUUUAAAUAUGUUUUAUAUAUAAAAUAUCUUGAUAUUUUUUGUUUUAUAUCUUGAUAUUUUUUGUUUUAUAUUUUAAAAACACUUUUGAAUAUAAAAUUAAAAAAGAAGUAAAUUGAAGAUAAUUAACAGAUUUGAUCUCCAAUCAAUGAGAUUCAACUCUAGAAGUCGAAACGAAGUGAUUUCAAGGGCAUUAAAAAUCCAACAUCCAUACCUUUCUAUAUAUAUACGGCAAAAAAAAUAAAAAGAGAAAGAGCAUCGAGAUCGCAGCUUUCAAAGACAAAUCUGGCAUUUUAUCAGUGUUGAUCUUUGAUCAUUCUAACUUGAAUAUCUUGAGUUAGAGAAGUUUAUUUGAUGCAAACUCAAUUUUAUUGGAUUCCUGACUCAAAGAUCUAUCAUCAUACCAAAGUUCAGCAUAAAAAGAGCUCAUAUGAGAGAAAUAUAAUUUUUUCUAAGAUGCCACAUGAAUUCUACCAGUAGACAAGUUUUAUGAAGAAAUAAGUACAAAUUAAAUCCCAAAGCAUUCAAACCGACAUCCAAAUCUUUAUUUCGGCAAUUUAACUUCUCAAAGUCAAAAGUCAAAACUUGAAGAAAUUAUGCAAUACAAACACAAUUCUAAACAAAUAUAAUUUCAAAAUUUAAAAUAUUUCUAAGUAGUCAAAAUAGAUUUUUAACUUAAAGUAAUUCAAUUUAAACAAAAUAUCAAAAUAUUUUGAAAGUAAAAUAUUUUAACAAAAAUAUUUUAAAUAUAAAGUUAGGUCAAUGUUAUCAAGGCUAAUGGAAUCUAAAGUAUCCCUUAUUUUGCUCAAAUUCCUACAAAGUAUAAACAUAUAUAUAUAUAUAUAUAUAAACAUGAAUAUAAACCAUAUAUAUUAGUGAUAAAUCCAAUUUUAAAAAAUUAAUAUCAUUGUUAAUAAAAUAGUAAUAAUAAUUUUCAAUAUUAUUAUUAAUAUCAUUGUUAUUGAAAAUAGUAAUGAAAAAAAGCUUUUUAUUAUUAGGCAGUUUAAUUAAUUAAAUUGAACAAGGUUCAAUUUAAUUCAAUGACUUUUUAAGAACGGAACAUAACAUGUGGAAUGAAACCGGAACGUUCCGGGCGGAAUUUAGCUGAAAAAUCCGGAACGGACCGAGAUUUAAAAUGAGAUGAAAUUUGUUCCGUUUUGUUCUGUUUUUUGAAUUGGUAUGAAAUGUUUCGGCCCUGAUGAAACGAAAUGGAAUUGACAAUCUUGCUUCUAGAGAUAUCUUUAAGAGAGAGAGAGAGAGAGAUUACAAGUCAACAAUAAAUGAUUACAAAUGAUUUCAAUCCAAUUACAGUAAAGAGGUAUAUGAAACAUUAGGUGCAUAAACACAACAUUGAAUGAAAUCCUCCACGUAAACACCAAAGCAAACAAUUAAUACACUCAGAAUCAAAACGGAAGCCACUCUGUAGUAGCUCUUUAGUAUCUUCAAAGCCCAAGCUGUCAAACACACACCAAAAGCAUACGUGUCAUCACCAAAACAAUCCAAUGGAUGCCCUUCGAUUUGAUUCCAAAAAUAUUAUAACUUGGAAAAUCUUCAGAUGCACAUGUUAAAUAUAUCAUGUAAUGGUAAACAAGAAUUAGUAAAUAAAAAACAAAGUUAAUUAAUUUGUAUCUUUCUCCUCAUCCACUAACUCUUGCUUCUUUUUUUCCCAUGAAAAAACGGAGAGCCGAAAAUAGAUUUGUUAAAAAUUAAAAUUAUAAUCUCUACGCUAAUAAUUAUAAUAGUAAAAUCUUUUACAGUUAAGAAGUAACACUGGUAGUAGAAUUUACCUGUUAAUUCCUGUCGGUCCUACAGACUUCCGUAGAGGUCUUAACUAUAAAUAGAAAUGUUUGGGAUGCGAGAAAUCUUUUGCCAAUCUUCACCCAUCUCCUCCUUCCCGUAACGUUUCCUUAGAUUGCGGCAACCACUUAUGUCCAAUCCUGUAGAGGCGCUGCCAAAACAUAGUCUGGUAGUGCUCUCAACAACGGGCAAUAUCAAUAUCAACUCUCGAAGUUGUGGCAUAAUGGAUAUUAUUGAAGUUGUGUUGGCAUCUUCUUCUCCCACUCUCCUUCAAUUCCAUCCCACUCUUCUACUUCUUGAGAUCCAAAUAUAAGUUUUUUAAUUUGGGGAAAGCAGUGACCCUUGCAAUUUCUCCUUCAUUAAUACUGGCAUUCUCAUCUUUUUCUAUACCUAAAAAUCCAGCAUCCAGCCUUCUCACCUUCACCCAUCAAUACCAGGCUUUCAAGGUUGGGCAAUCUUCCCAACGGAGGCAAGACCUCCACGUUUUCACAAUCACAGUUAAGCCCUGUAAUCUGGUUAAUGUCAUCAUCCAAUUUGGCAAUCCAACCCUCCGUACUAUAUGGUUAGAUUUCCAAGUCUGACGGAGGCUGUAAAGCUUCAAUUAAAGAGCCUUCAUUCGCUUGCAACUCUGUUAUCUCUCUGUCGAAAAACAAUCCCAAACAACGCAGGCGUUUCUUAUUCUUGAGUUGUGCUUCUGCAGCGUCACUCGCAUCUUCUUUACCGACUCCUAGAUUCUGUAUCUGAAGACUACCUCCAAUGUGAUUUAAGUUUUUUAAUUCUCUCAGAUUAGCUGCUUUACUUCCAUUCUCACCACCACCACACACAGUAAACCGAUCUAAUGUUCGAAGACAUGUUAUCCUCUCUAUUCCCUUUGGUAUGAAGGCCACUUCUGAACCAUAAAUCCGGAGAUGCCUCAAUUUGAUAAGUUUUCCAAUAGCCUUGGGCAAUUCCUUGAGAGACCGACACCAAGUAACAUCUAGGGAUUGCAGAUUGCAUAAAUCACACAUGGUUUCUGGCAGGGAUUCCAACUGAAAACAAGAUGCCAGAUUGAGGUGUCUCAAAUGUAUCAAUUUCCCUACCUCGUUUGGUAUUUCUUUGAUUGAAGACCCUGACAAAUUCAAUGACCUGAUGCAUGUCAACUGCUUGAACAAAUCAGGCAGUGCAGCUCCAAGCGAAGGGUCUCUAGUGUCGAACAAUAGGCUGCGAAGACCUUUUGCUUUGUGAAUGGACACGGGAAAAGAGGUCUCCUCUGACAGCAUCAUGCUUAAAUGACGAACCCUUUCAAUUGAAGUCUCCACUGUUGCUUCUCCAAGUGUAUUGACAUCCACUGUUAGACAUUCAUUUUUUGUCAUAUAUUGGGCAAAAUCAUGCACUAUAUCAUGCAUCUUGAAUCUAAUAUGUUCUCGAUCAUACGUCUUAAAAUCUUGGAAGAAAGAGCGCGCUGCCAAGACUUGAAAGUAAUCCUCCCCAACAAGCUCCAUGUCUCUACUUGUAGUCUCCUUAAGGUAACCUUGAGCCAUCCACAUCUUCACCAAUUCAUCUUUUCAUCGUAGUCUUUUGGAAACAUGGCACAAUACAAGAAACAUCGUCUUACCACAGAAGGUAAAUCGUAGUAACUCAAAAGCAAAGGUAAAAUAGUCCCUCUUUCAACAUGUUCUAGCUCCCACAUUCGCUAGAUAAAACACGUUCCCACUCUUCUCUUGUUCUUUUAGACUGCAUUAGACCUCCUAAUACCUUGGCAGCUAGAGGCAAGCCCUUGCACUUGCUUGCAAUUUUAUCGCCGAUAUCUGUCAAUCUUUCGCGCUCAUCUUGCUUCUUUCCUGGAAUGCCACUGAUUGAAUAUUGACCUGCAUACCUCAUCAGACAAUUUCUCAAUGUUGAUCCGGUGGUCAGUUCCCAUCAUCGUUGCCACAGAAUGUUUACGAGUGGUCACUAGAAUUCUGCUUCCUCGUGCACAGCCUGUGAGAGAUGGUUUCAGUUGUUCCCAUUGUCCAUGAUUUUCUGUCCAGACAUCAUCAAGGACAAGAAGGAACCUCUUUCCCUUAAUGGAUUCAGAAACCCUUGCAAAAGGGAUUGCAAUUCAACCAAAUCGGCCCUCCCUUCAAGCUGCUCAAGGAUAGCUUUGGCUAUUCUAACCUCAUCAAAUGGUUCUGAAACACACACCCAUAUCUUUUUCUCAAAAUGAGCCGUAACCUCAGCAUCAUUAAAAGCUAGUUGGGCGAGAGUUGUUUUUCCAAUUCCGCCCAGCCCUACUAGAGAGAUGACAUCCACGUCCCGUGCUUCCUGACUACUUUCGCCAGCAACUUGCUUACAGCUUCCUUUUCACAUCUCGACCAUCACGCUUGAUUCAUCAACAAAGGAGGUACUUGUUAUUCGUUGGAGUUCAUCAGUGGCUUGUACAGAUCAAAGCCAUACAUAGCUCUCUCUUUGGCAAUCUCCACUUUUUCACAUACUUCUUUGAUCUUGAGGGCAAUGUCUCGACGUCGAACCACUUGAUUGAAACAAAAGCAAGGAGAUCUCAGGAAGGAACACCGUAUCUUCUGUCGGCUGUGAGUAUUUUCUUCAGAAUCCCCCAUUUUCCAUGUAAGAAUUGCAGAGCUCCAUUCAUCUAGCACGUCAUCCAUAUCAUAGCAUACAUCUUUGAGCUUGUCUACCCAAUCCCUUACAGCCUUAUCCUUCACUUGUUUUCUAUCUGCAUUUUCUCUAAAAUAAAAUGACUCGUAAAUAAUGUAAUGCUAAUGCCACUAUUAUUGUACUUAAAUUUACUAGAUGAGUGAAUUAAAAUAUAUUUUAUUUGAAUAUAGGAUUUCUUUAGAUAAAAGAAUUCAUAGAUAUUAUAAUAAUCAUAUAAUUAUGUAGCGCAAUACAUUGCAAUUUCACAAUAUUAUUAUGUGACUUUUAAUAGUUAUGCAUAGUCUAUUUUUAAAAAAAAUCUGUGAGGUUGAUCAAAAUAAAAAAGAAAUAUUAGAAUUUCUAUAAUCAUGUUUGUGAUCGAAUAUUUGACUAUAUUUAUUUUAAUCAUUUUAUCAUAAUAAUUUUAUUACAAAUAUAGUUAUUUAUGCAUUCAAAUAUGAUAAGGAAUUGUGAAAAAGGGAAUUUACUACUAUUUUACUAUAUUGAUUUGUUCUAACCAGCCAUCACAAUAACCAUAUUUUGUAUAGCACAAAAGAUAUAAAGAAAAAGAAAGAUAAUCGUAAGAACCCGCUAUCUAGUAAAAUAAUAUAUAUAUAUAUAUAUAUAUAUAUAUAUAUAUAUAAAUCAAGGUACUGAAUUAACUAAUUUUAACAGAUAUUCUAUAAGAUAAUGAAAUCAAUGUAUAAUGAACUAUAAAUGUAGAAAAGUAAUUAAGUACCUGUUGAUUAUAAAAGAAAGAAAGGAAACAAAAAAGAGUACCUGUAGAGUAACGAUCGUGGUUAACUGGUCCAAAAUCGGGGAUACAAGUGCGUCAGCCAUUGUUGUUCUUACUACUGAAUGUGUCAAGAAAAAGGAGAGAAAGUAAUGGGGCGUUGUUGACUGAUGAAAUGAGAAGUUGAUGAAGAUAGGAAGGAUAGUGAUCGACUGUGGAGUGCCAGAGAAAAUUAAUUUGAGGUUAUUUUCAAUGAAGUUUAGGCAAUAUAUACUGCAAAUUAAGAUAAUUUGCUUAAGACUGAUGCAAGGUUGAUGCAAGCAAAGAAUGAUUCUGAACUUCAGCAUAAAGCAGCUAAUUUCCUACAAGGUUGAUGCAAGCAAAGAAUGUCACUGAAACAACGAGAAAAUAUGCGUAAGAAGGAAAAGGAAAAGGCAAAGGUAAGUCUAGAACUAGCCAUUGCUUCACUUUGGGUUCAAGUAUAAUGCAUCAGUCAUCAGUCAUUUUCCUAUUUGUAUGUUUAUAUGGAAAUGACCUGUCGUUUUGAGUUCCAAAAGUGAAAGGCCCAUUUUUUUGCCUUAAUUUUAAAACAAAUAAAUAAUCAUUAACAUACCUAAAAAUAAAAUUUAAAAAUUAAAAGAUAAAUAUAGAUCAAGAUAUUUAAUUUUACAAGAUGAGACAUUUAUCUAUUUGCUAAAUUUUUUUAUUAAUUUUUUUUAAUUUAAUCAAACAAUAAUAAAAAUAAACAAAUAUAUUAAAUUGAUUGAAUAAAAUAAAAAGAAAACAGGAAUAAUAUGCAAGGCUACACAUAUUAGAAAUAUCAUCUAAAAAAAUUGAUUGAAUAAAAUAAAAAGAAAACAGGAAUAAUAUGUAAGGCUACACAUAUUAGAAAUAUCAUCUAAAAAUAAAUAUUUUUUAUUUUUAAAAAUACAGUUCAUCUAUACAAAAGACAAAAAAAAUUAUAAAUAAAUCAGAAAAAUCUCUUUAAAAAUUAAACAUAUAACAAAAAAAUCAAUAUUAUUUAAAAGAUACUGUCUGAACAAAAUUCUACUGUGGAGCGCAAGAGAAAAUUAAUUUGAGGUUGUUCUCAAUGAAGUUUAGGCAUUGAGAACAAAGAUCAAAUUGGAUGUUUUGCACUUUGGAGUUUGGAUAAUGAUAUUGUAAUGUUUUGAAUUAAUGAGAUAGGAAAAGCCUAGAAACCCCUUGAAGGCUUAGAUGUAGGAAUAAAUUAAAUGAGGGGUAUAGUAGUAAUUGGAUAAAUAGUUGAUAAAUAUAAAUAGGAAGUAAAAAAAUAAAAUAAAUAUAGAAAUCUGAUUUUGAGAGGAAGAGAAUCGGCAGAAGUGAGAAAGGAAAGAAGAAGAAGAGAAAAGAGGGGAAAAUAAGGGGAAAAAGGAAGAGAAUUGGAGGAAAUAAGUGAAAAAGGUAAGAUUUAGGUUGUUUAAUGUGUAUAAUAUGUUAAUUAAGUUUUAAUUUCAGUUUUAUGAAUGUUAGGGUUUUGAGAAUUUGUGUUCGAUUUAAAUGAUGAAUUAAAUUGAAGGUUAGGGGUGAUUGUUGUUGUUUAAUUGAUGAUUUAGUUGAUUAUGGAAGAUUAUGAUGAUUUGAGUUAUAGAAUUGUGUAAAUGGUGAAAAUUGAGUUAGAAAUCAGGGAGAACAGUGGGGUUUCUGUUAAAAUCUGGACUGGAGGUUGAAGAUGACGAAAAAUUCAAUUUGGUCCCUCAAUUCAGAAAAUUACAGUUAGUCCCCGAACUUUGGAAAAUUACAAAUUGGUCCCUGGAGCAUAUUCCGAGAUUCUGAACAGAAUAACAUAUGAAUUAUGGACAUAAUUACUGUAUAGAUAAGAGAAUUUAACACUUUCAAUUUAGUCCUCCAAUUUGACAAAAAGUACAAUUUGACCCUAAAAAUUUAGUAAAAUUCCAGAAUGAUCCCUGAAGCAUAAUGAUACAUCCUGGACAGAAUUGAGGAUUAAUUAAGGUCAGAAUUUCAGUAUAUUCAUGGAUUUAUGACAAAUUUCAGUUUGGUCCUCCAAUUAGACAAAAGUUACAAUUUGGCCCUAAAAAUAUGAUAAGUUCCAGAUUAGUCCCUAGCUGUAAUAUUAGCUUUUGCAGAUUAGUUUGAUGAAUAAUUAAGGGUUAUUUAGUGAAUUAUUACCAAUUUUAUUAGUUGUUUUUAUUAUGGAUUAGAUUUCGGGAAAACCGUUAGAUUUUGGGUUUUUAAGAAAAUUGACUAGUUAGUUCAAAAACAUAUAGGGUUACGGAAUACACCCUUAGUUAAGUGUAUUAAAUAUUAAAUGUUCUUUCGAGUCGUUUUUGAAUAUGUCUCCUUUGUAUUCAGAUAAUCCUGAUAUUCUACCGGCAGGACGUCAGUAGAAUUUCCUUCGGUUUCAGCUUGUGUGUGUUGUUUGCUUUUGAGUCAGGUGAGUGGAUAAUUUUCCAUAUGCAUGAGAAAUAUUAUAAAUAUUUGAUUUGUUAAUAUGAAUUGGAUCAUGCUUCUUGAUAAUAUAUAUGCUGAUUAUUAUCCUUGAUAUGAUAAAGCAUGAUCAAUUAUUGAAUCUGAUUUCUUGAUAUGAACCAAUAUGAUUUGACUUCUGAAUUGAUAGCUCCUCAUUUGAUGGAUGUCAUGAGUUGAGCUUUGAGAUAUGAAUAUGUUUGUUUGAUUAUGAUUAUGAACCUAUGGUAUGUCAGUCAGAAUACCCAUGCUAACAGGGUAGUGUUAGUCUUUGUGCACAUCGUAUCUGAACCCUAGUUGGUCGGGGGAGUCACCAACCUGUGUGGACUGAUCAUCCCACAGUACGGAGCCUCAUGCUCAUUGCAUUUUGAUUUUCUGACGAGUUUUACCAUAUGAUAUUCUUGUUAUGGCCUAUUUGAUAAACCUUCGUAUAAGAACUAAAGCCAUACUUGUAUAUAUAUUUCUCAUUGUUAUAUUACCUCGUAUGUGUAUAUUGAAUGUUAUCUACUCACUGAGUUGUUGAACUCACCCUCUCAUUAUUUAUUCUUUUCAGGCUUAUAGCUUGAUAGCGGGUUACUUUUGUUGAACCUUCCGAACCUGCUUUUGGUUGUAAUUUGUAUCUUUCUUUUUAUGUCAAGUUAGUGCUCCAAAACUAUGAAAAAUUAUUAACUCUUGUAUUAAGACAAUUACAUUAUAUUAUGAAGUUGUUUGUUGUUAAUUAUGCGUUAAACUCUGAUUGAGUUGUUUAAAGGAUUGUAUGUAAGUUUGGGUUCGCAUAGGUUUGGAACCUUGGAGGGGAACCUUGCCUAUGUGCCGGUCAUGGAUCCGGGAUUCGGGUCAUGACAGAUAUUAAUCUUUGUUGUUUGGGGAUUAAGAAUUUGGUGAUAAAUUUCUUGUUGUGAAAUAGUUAUGGUAAAAUAUAAGAUAAAUCCUAGUGAACACGUCUUCCCAAAAUACACUGCGUGUACUGGACUCUCAAUGUUCAUUUUUGCCUCAUUUUGCCUUAAUUAAUUUUAACUGCAAAACAACUAGCUCAGUACCGCACCAGCAAACGAGAAUGGAAAAGCUCACCAAGAUGCCCUCAAAUUAAUGGAGUCAAUGGAGAAAAAAACUGGAGCUGCUGGAGGCCAGACGGCACAUGGUGGAAUAGUUCAUGCCCUGGCAUGCGUCAUCACUGUUCCACCAUGUGCCGUCGCGACCUCCAUUGAACAACAAUGAAAAACAUAUACGAAUUUAGCUUCAUGUCUUUAUAAGAGAAUUUCAUAAACAUACCAUAACAAAAAAUAUCAUAAAAUAAAUCUCUUAAAAAAUAAAAAUACAAUAAACAUGUAGGUUCAUAUUAUAAGAUAAUCAGUUUAUAUAAAUUGUUGACACCCCCAAUCAAUUAAGGAUCAAAUACGAUAUAUAUAAAUAUUAACAAUUAACAAGAUCUUAUUAGCAUGAAUAUUCUAACUAUUAUAUCAUAGGGUUAUAAUCAAACGAACAAAAUCAUUUUCUAAAAGCUCAACUCAUAUAAUUAAUUAAAUAAAAAACUAUCAAUUUAAAAAUACAUAAUUGCUCAAAUCAAGAAAUCUAUCUCAAUAAAUAAUAAUGUUUUAUAGAACAACAGAUAAUAAAUAUUAUAUAAAUUACUAAGAAGUACUAUCAAUUUAAUAUUAAUAAUUUGACUAUUUAUACUACUCCUCUGCAGCAUAUGAGAUAGUAAGUGAUAGAAUGGUCCCCAUGUUAUGGUUUAUAUUUUGCUUUAAACAGAGUAUAGUUGUACUAAAAAUACACCCCUUUCCCGAAAGGAAGGGGAAGAACACAAUCAAGGGAUUUCUUGUUGUUUGACUUCUCAUGUUUCUCUCCCACCACGGGCAACUGUUUAUUUUCGCCAAGGUGAAUUGAGGCUUCAAGUAGAAGAAAUUAUUUACUGGUUAGAAACUUGGUCGAUUUCACUGUUGUCUUUGAGACAAAUGAAACUGAGGUUUUUGGUUUGCAAUUUGGGCAGAUAAGGAUAAUCCUUAUUGUUUGGUGUUUGAGAAUUUGGUGCUAAAUUUCUUGUUGUAAAUUGCAGAAAAUAGUCAGGGUAAAAAUUUAAGAUGAAUGCUAGGGUACACAUCUUCCCAAAAUGCACUGGGUUCUGGAUUCUCAAUGUUCAUCUUGCAGUUUGACAAGAGAAUCUUUCCUUCACUUACACUAUCUUUUUGUUUGUUUGGCCGAUGCAUGAUUUUUUUACCUCAUUUUUCCUUGAUAAAUUCUAACUACAAAACAGCUACUUCACCAACAAGAUGGAAAAGGCUCACCAAGAUGUUCUCUUUGAAAAGAUUCUCAGUGAGUCGUUGACAUCUCAUUUUUGGAAUUUCUCCAAUAGCUUGAUGUCUACUCUCACUAUAUUGAGUAGGAUGACUAUAGAAUUACUCUGAUUUAUCAACACAUAUCAAAUUCUUGCUGCUGCUGAGGAAGAUAUCUGCACUUAGCCAUCAUAGAGGGUAGCGAAUUUUGUGUUGAUGGAAAUUACACUGACUCAUUGUGUACCAUCUAGAAUUCAAUUUUAAAAAAAAUUGCAAGAAAUGUUGUUUUUUCCUAAAUACAUCAAUCGGGUGUGGAUAGCUUGAUUAAAAUGCGACUUACUAAAAAGUCUUGGUCUUAAUAUGCAAAGAUGAUCCAAGUAUACCAUAUUUCUUUUAAAAUAAAACCCACAGAUCUAGUCCACGCAAAGGUACUGGAAUAUGGAUUUGUAAAAAUAAAAAUGAAAAUUUAUACGAAAUUGAAUUGUGCUAAAAAAACCCACAGAUCUAGUCCAUGAUCUACGGCUCCUCCAGAGUUCCGUAGUGGUGUCUUUCUCAACUAUUCUUUAAAUAAAAUGUGUGGGAUGUGAGAAAUCUUGUGCCUAUCUUCACCCCUCUCCUCCUUCCCGUAACGUUUCCUUAGAGAAUUUAUGUAGAGGCGCUGUCAAAACAUAGUCCGGUAGUGCUCUCAACAAUGGGCAUUUGAGAAUUCUAAACUCAACAAGUUGUGGCAUGAUGAAUAUUGAAGUCGUGGUGGAAUCUUCUUCUCCCACUCUCCUUUCAAUCCCAUCCCACUCCUCUAGUUCUUUGAGAUGCCAUAUGCUAAGUCUUUUCAAUUUGGGGAAAGCAGCGACUCUUGCAAUUUCUCCUUCAUUAAUAUUGGUAUUGCCACCAUUUUCUAUGCCUAAAAAUCCACCAUCCAACCUUCUCAGCUUCAUGCUCAUCCAUCUGAAAAUCUUGGAAGAAAGAACGUGCUACUAAGACUUGAAAAUACUCCUCUCCAACAAGCUCCAUACCUCUACUUGGAGUCUCCUUAAGAUAACCUUGAGCCAUCCACAUCUUCACCAACUGGUCUUUUUCCAUCUCGUAGUCUUUUGGAAACACCGUCUUGCCACAGAAGGUAAAUCGUAGUAACUCAAAAGCGGAGGUGGAAAUAGUGCUAUUUCAACAUGUUCUAGCUCCCACAGUUCGCUAGAUAAAACAUGUUCCCACUCUUCUCUUGUUCUUUUACACUGCACUAGACCUCCUAAUACCUUGGCAGCUAGAGACAAGCCCUUGAACUUGCUUGCAAGGAGAUCCCAGGAAGGAACAUCGUAUCUGCUGUAGGCUGUGAGUAUUUUCUUCAGCAUCCCUCAUUUUUCAUGUAAGAAUUGCAGAGCUCCAUUCAUCUAGCACAUCAUCGAUAUCAUAGCAUACAUCUUUGAGCUUGUCUAGCCAAUCUCUUGCAACCUUAUCCUUCACUUGCUUUCUAUCUGCAUCUUCAAGGACAGAUUGGAUAGCAAGGAGAUUGCUUUUCAGCUUGUCGACACACCCCCUACUAGGUUCACCUCUUCCUGUACCUAUUGGUGCAGAAAAGAUAAGAAAGUUGAAGCAGAGGAAACAUUUCUAUGAUUUCUUUAAACAGUAUCUCACAUAAUUUAAUCUCCUGAACUACUAACUAAAGUGUUGAGAGCCAAUUUAAGUUCUCAAGGCUGAAGACCCCAACUAGACUACUGUUACCUAGAAUUCAUUUUACCUACAAUACUCAGUAUGUGUGGCAGAAAAUCGCAAUACCUAAAUGGCUGAAUUUACAAGUAUAUCAAUCAAUUAUGUAAUGAACCGGGUGCAAGUGCAUGGCGCAAGUAUAUUAAACCUACUGAAUUUUUCUUCUACUUUUUAUAUACCAAACCUUGUAAAAAACACCACUGCUCAAAUUCAAAAAUAAAAAGUGGAGGAAAUUUUAAAGUGAUGUACCCCUCUUUGAGUGUCAAGAUAGCGGUGUGUACAGCAUCAUCAAGCUCCAUAUCAUCAGUGUAUCUACAGAGCACAUAUUAAGUUAGGGAAAACAAAAGUUGUUCAAAUCAAAUGAAGAUAUGUGGACAAAAAACAAAAAUAUUUACCAUGUUUCUGUCCAUUCAAUUCUUUUUUUCUCACUUUCUUUUUCUUUUUUCAAAAAAAAGAAAGGCAAUCCAAUUCUUCUUGGAUGGGGUGUAGCUCAAAGUAAGCUGGCAGUUGAAAAUUGAAGGUGGCUUGAUCUUUGAAUGAAGAAUAUGUUUGGCAGUUGAUGGCUGGAGGUGGAAACACAUUUGUUGCUAGCUAGGAGAACCCAUGAAGAUGUUUAGAAGUUUUUGCAGAAUCAAUGCAUUUCAUGGUACCAAAAACAAAUAAAUACCUCUUCUCAAGAAAUGUUUUUGCAUUUGAAACAUUUUUCCCCAUUGCUGAGGCUUUCCAUGAGAAGUAGGAACCUGAUGGAUCGACCUAGCCAAACAAAUACAAAACAUAACAUCAUCGAAAAUGACAAGAAAAUGAGAAAAAAAGAAGAAGAGAGAGAGCUUAAAUUGCAACAACAUUUGAUUCCGAGAGAAGUUUGGCCUGAUCCAACGGCAGUCAAUGCGUGCUCAAUCUGUACUGGCUUUCCGGUAGGACUGAAAGUAGUGAGAGAAAAGGAGUACUGGCUAUCACCCAUGGUUUAUUGCUUGAAGACGCAGAGAGGAAAAACUGAGAAUGCGAGCGUGUGGGAGAGAAAGGCAGGGAUAUUUACUUGGGGUUUUAACUUUGCUUUUCUCGUUGGAGAAGAAGGUGUUUUCUUACGAGGGCUUUUACAAUGGAGUAUAUUGGGCUUUUAUGACGGCAGGUUAGUCCUCUUUACAUUGAGCUCAGUGAAGGCUCGGAACCAGUUUUGUUUUUAAGAAUUAUUAACAAAUUUUAUUUAUUUAUUAAUAUACAUAAUUUUAAUUUAUUUAAUUACAUUUAUAUAUAAAAUUUUUAAUUUAUUAUAUUUUUUUGAACUAGAAAAAUAUAUUUAAAGAACUGCAUGUAUAAAUGUUUAUAAAAAAUAAAAAUAUUUGACUCACAAUAAAUCAUCCAUACUCUUAUAAAAAAGAUGAGUUGCUGCUGAAUUUUGUUGUUGAUUUGUAAUUUAAUUAUUGUUGAAGAUUUUCUGUGUUAGGUUUGGAUAACUUUAUUUGGAUUUAAUCCACUGAAACUGAGGUUUAAGAAUUUCUUGGAUUUAAUCCACUGAAACAGUUGCUUGAUCAAGAUCAUUGGCUUGUUUGUAGGCAGAUAAAGGCAUAAAAAAAAAAACAAAUAUCAUCUUAGAUUAAUUAUAGAUAUGAGUUACAGUAGUUGAAAUUUGAAAGGCAAUUUUUUUAGCGUGGCAUUUGGAGAAUUUAAGUAAGGAAUAAGCUUCACGUGAGCGAGUUAAUAUCACAGCUGCAUUUGAUAGAUUAAAUGAUAAGUAGGAAAUAAAAUCGAAUUACAGUAAAGUUUGAAUGAAAUCCUCCAUGUAAGUAAAGAGGUCACAUAGAGUAAAUAGUAAGGCUUACAUAUUAUUUACAUUCAACCUUAGCAAACACCAAAGCAAAUAAUUAAUACACUCAGAACCAAAUCUUUUACCGUAGAAGAAUUUACUUGUUCCUGCCGGUCCAACAGACUUCCGUACGUUGUGGUGUCCCAUAGAUAUGAUCACUAAAACGAAUGUUUGGGAUGUGAGAAAUCUUUUGCCAAUCUUCACCCAUCUCCUCCUUCCCGUAACGUUUCCUUAGAUUGGGGCACCUUUGUAUGUAUAAUUCCUGUAUAGGCGCUGCCAAAACAUAGUCUGGUAGUGCUCUCAACAACGGGCAAUGACGAAUUCUCAACUCUCGAAGUUGUGGCAUAAUGGAUAUUAUUGAAGUUGUGUUGGCAUCUUCUUCUCCCACUGAUCUCCUUUCAAUUCCAUCCCACUCUUCUACAUCUCCGAGAAAAAAAAACGUAAGUGUUUUUAAUUUGGGGAAAGCAGUGAUCCUUGCAAUUUCUCCUUCAUUAAUACUGGCAUUCUCAUCUUUUUCUAUACCUAAAAAUCCAGCAUCCAACCUUCUCACCUUCAUCAAAAUCAAAUCCAGGCUUUCAAGGUGGGGCAAUCUUCCCAACGGAGGCAAGACCUCCAGCUUUGUACAAUUAUCCAGUCUAAGCGCCUGUAAUCUGGUUAAUGUCAUCAUCCAAUUUGGCAAAUCCAACCCUCCGUACCCAUAUAUGCUUAGAUUUUCCAAGUCUGGCGGAGGCUGUAAAGCUUCAAUUAAAAUGCCGUUAUCCUGGUUGUGGUUGAAAUACAAUUCCAAACGAAGCAGGCGCUUCUUAUUCUUGAGUUGUGCUUCUGCAGCGUCACUCGCAUCUUCUUUACCUCCUCCUAGCUUCCGUAUCUCAAGACUCCCUCCAAUGUGAUUUAAGUCUUUUAAAUCUCUUAGAUUAGCUGCUUUACUUUCAUUCUCACCACCACCACACACACUAAACACAUCUAAUGUUUGAAGACAUGUUACCCUCUCUAUUCCCUUUGGUAUGAAGGCCACUCUUGAACCAUAAAUCCGGAGAUGCCUCAAUUUGAUAAGUUUUCCAAUCGCCUUGGGCAAUUCCUUGAGAGACCAACACCAAAUAACGUCUAGGGAUUGUAGAUUGCAUAAAUCACACAUGGUUUCUGGCAGGGACUCCAACUCUCCACAGGCUACCAAAUUGAGGUGUCUCAAAUGUAUCAAUUUCCCUAACUCCUUUGGUAUUUCUUUGAUUGAAGACCUUGACAAAUUCAAUGACCUGAUGCAUGUCAACUGUUUGAACAAAUCAGGCAGUGCAGCUCCAAGCGAAGGGUCUCUAGUGUCGAUCAAGAGGCUGCGAAGACCUUUUGCUUUGUGAAUGGACACGGGAAAAGAGGUCUCGUUGGGCAGCAUCAUGCUUAAAUGACGAACCCUUUCAAUUGAAGUCUCCAUUGUUGCUUCUCCAAGUUUACUGGCAUCCACUGUUAGACAUUCAUUUUUUGUCAUAUAUUGGGCAAAAUCAUGCACUAUAUCAUGCAUCUUGAAUCUAAUAUCUUCUCGACCAUACGUCUUAAAAUCUUGGAAGAAAGAGCGCGCUGCUAAGACUUGAAAGUACUGCUCUCCAAUAGCCUCCAUAUCUCCACCUGAAGUCUCCUUGAGGUAACCUUGAGCUAUCCACAUCUUCACCAAAUCAUAUUUGCGCAUCUCGUAGUCUUUUGGAAACAUGGCACAAUACAAGAAACAUCGUCUUACCACAGAAGGUAAAUCGUAGUAACUCAAAAGCAAAGAUAGAAAUAUUCCUCUUUCAACCUGAUCUCUAUCAACCUCAUCUAGCCCCCACAGUUCGCUAUAUAAAACACGCUCCCACUCUUCUCUUGUUCUUUUAAACUGCAUUAGACCUCCUAAUACCUUGGCAGCUAGCGGCAAGCCCUUGCACUUGUUAGCAAUUUUAUCACCGAUAUCUGUCAAUCUUUCACGCUCAUCUUUGCUUCUUUCCUGGAAUGCCACAUGAUUGAAUAUUGACAUGCAUAUCUCAUCAGACAAUUUCUCAACAUUGAUCUGGUGGUCAGUUCCCAUAAUCGUUGCCACAGUGCCCUUACGAGUGGUCACUAGAAUUCUGCUUCCUCGUGCACAGCCUGUGAAAGAUGGUUUCAGUUGUUCCCAUUGCCUAUGAUUGUCUGUCCAUACAUCAUCAAGGACAAGAAGCAACCUCUUUCCCUUAAUGGAUUCAGAAACCAUUUGCAAAAGGGAUUGCAAUUCAAUCAAAUUCGGUUCACUCCCUUGAAGCUGCUCAAGGAUAGCUUUUGCUAUUCUAACCUCAUCAAAUGGUUCUGAAACACAUACCCAUAUCUUUUUCUCAAAAUGAGCCGUUACCUCAGCAUCCUUAAAAGCUAGUUGGGCGAGAGUUGUUUUUCCAAUUCCGCCCAGCCCUACUAGAGUGAUGACAUCAACGUCCCGUGCUUCCUGACUACUUUCACCCACCAACUUGCUUACAAUAGUUUUCUUUUCAACAUCUCGACCAAUCACGCUUGAUUCAUCAACAAAGGAGGUACUUGUUAGUCGUUGUAGUUCAUCAGUGGCUCUGUACAGAUCAAAGCCAUACAUAACUCUCUCUUUGGCAAUGUCAUCCACUUUUUCACAUACUUCUUUGAUCUUAAAGGCAAUGUCGCGACGUCGAACCACUUGAUUGAGACAAAAGCGAGGAGAUCUCAGGAAGGAACAUCGUAUCUUCUGUAGGCUGCGAGUAUUUUCUUCAGCUUCCUCCAUUUUCCAUCUAAGAAUUGCAGUGCUCC
rnacentral:lncRNA from 1 species